AAAAAAAAUGGGUUUCCCCCAUCUCCCUUGUCUCGCUCAUUCUGGAACCCUCUCGCCGCCGCCCACGAUAGAGAGAGAGAGAGUUGAGCAGCGGGAGAGACGAGCUCGACCGCGCCGCCCUGUGCGCAGUCGCCGAAGAAUCUUCAGAUGUACACUGCGGGCAUGGAGUUCCUACUGGAUGCAGUUGACAGGUUCCCAAUAAGAGAGGAAUUCGCCAACAACCUUGGGCAGCCGGAUCCCGUUCCACUGCAUUUCCUGCUGGAGAAUGGUGGGAGGAGGGGAAAUGUGGAUGGUGCAGAUUCAGACGGUGGAUCUGCUUUGGCUGAGAAUGUUGGGGGAGAUGGAGAUGGUGCUGCGGUAGUAGGGUCUCGCCGUAAACAUGCUGCUUCUCCGACGAGGUCAGCACAGUCAAGUGACAGGGUGAAUCCGGAGGCGCCUGGCUGGACAAAACGGCUUCGCCUUGGCAGUGCGACACCGGACAGGGUCCCAUGCCCAUCCCGGAUGAGUGCACUCGAGCUUUUGAUGCGCAAGUAUCCAGAGUAGCCUGACAAAAGUGUCGUGCGACCAGAGCUAGGCCUUAGCUUCGACUCUUUUAGCGAGGCAUACGAUUUCUACAAUCUGUAUUCGUGGGAGGUCGGAUUUGGAAUAAGAUACGGCAAGAGCCUUCUAAAUGCUGAAAGAACGAAGUGCAUGCAAGAAAUCGUAUGUGGUUCCCGGAGAAACCAGAGGUUGAGAACAGUAGGUCAUGUAGAUGCGAAUGCCCGGCGCUGAUCAGACUUCUACGUGCAUCGGAUAACAGCUGGUACAUUACAGAACACCGCGAGAGCCACAACCACUCGAUGUCGCUGACAAUGGGAGAGAAGGUGCACUGGCCGUCACACAAACAUAUCGAUGUGUACACGAAGGACUUGAUUAGGCAGCUGAGGAAAAAUAAUGUGAAUCUGGGAAAGGUCUAUAGUAUAAUUGGCAGCUUCUUUGUCUCAGUUGAGAAGGUGCCCUUCAUGAAAAGGACUCUGAGGAAUAUAUGUGGCAAAAUUAGCCGUGAGCAGGCCGAUGAUGAUGUGCGGAAGAUACUGGAAGUGUUUGCUGACAUCUGUUCGAGCGACCCUGGCUUCACGUACGUGGUGUUGGCAGACAAGUCCAGCAAGGUGAAAAAUCUGAUGUGGGCUAAUGGGAGCAGCCGAAUGCAGUAUAAGUUCUUUGGUGAUGUGGUCACAUUCGACACAACCUACAGGACAAACCUGUAUGACAUGCCAUUUGGUCUAUUCAUGGGAGUUGACAAUCACUAUCAAAGUAUAAUAUUUGGCGGGGGUAUUGAUGCGGGAUGAGCAAGAAGAAAGCUUUGAGUGGGUGUUUGCUGAAUUUAUACGUCUGAUGGGCGGGCCUGCACCAACGACCAUAUUGACAGAGCAAUGCAGAGCCAUGGAAUUGGCGAUAAGGAAGACAUAUCCAGGGACUGUACAAAGGUGGUGCAAAUGGCAUAUCCUAAAAAAGGCGAAAGAAACACUGGGUCCGCUUUACCGAAAAAGGCUUGCGCCCCGCUUUAUAUAUAAAGCAACAACCCACAAGCAUCCAGUACAACCACACGCUACGCCACCGCAACACACGCACACACACAGGACGGGAUACAAAGGCGCUGAGUGCAGCAACACUACUCCUAGCACUACCGCCCCGAAGAUAUUAAGCUACAUAUGACGAACCAUGCGCUCCAAGGCGGCGCCUUCAGGAAGGAAACAACGCCGGAGCGCCGCCACCGCCCGAUCCAAGGAUCAAAGUUUCCCCCGGAGCCGCAUGAUGGGCAAUGAGAGCCGCGACGACGCCUUCAAGAAGGGAGCGAUCUUCGCCGCCGCCGGUCCGUCCGAAGAUAGAGCAAGUUUUCACCUCGGCCAACAUUCACCGCCACCGAACGCCACACCCCGGCUACCACGCCGCCCACACGGCCAUGAUGAGCGGGCAGCACCAAGGCGCGGGCUUUUUCCAAGAGCACCGCGCCACCACCACCACCACCAGGGCCGCCGCCCCAGCAUCCAAGACCUCAACACCACCUCACCCGUGACCCAGCGCACCCUAACGAAAGAGAUGAGCGGAAAGGUCCCACCUUUCGCGCCCCUGGGCAACCCCCAGCGUCGAGACCCAAUAGGUCGGCCAGAACUGGCAUCCACCGACCCAUCCUGCUACCCCAAGCGCGAGAUGAACUCGGUCCUGCAGCAUCGUGCGCGAGACGAGCUCGGUCCUGCUGCCUCGUGCGCGAGACGAGGUCGGUCCUGCUGCAUCAUGCGCGAGACGAGCUCUGUCCGGCGGCAUCGGGCGCGAGACGAGCGGUGGAUCACAUCUGGGAAAGGACCAGCCCUUUGAUGGGAGUAGCGCCCGGGUGACGAGGAGAUGGGGUGAAGGACGAGACGGCCCGGACGCAGACAAACCGACGCCGGAGGAGCCGGCCGUUGCCGCGGACAGAUCCAUCGAGUCACCGUGAAGCCGCCACGACACCGGUAGGCCACCGAGACCUACCCAUGUCGCCGCCCACGGCCGGAGCAGCAGCCACGCCCGGCCGCUGCCCUACCCGCGUCGCCCGGCGGGCUCCAAGCGCCGGAGCCGCCGGGCACGCACCACCGGAGCCAGGCGCCACCGGCCGGCCCCCAAAGCCAGAUCCGGACGGAUCCGGCCCGAGACUGGUCGCGCGCCACCUCCCGAGAUGGGAGCACCGCAGCCGCCCCGCAACGCGCAACCCGAGGAUCGCCGGAGCACCGCCACAGCAGGCCACCCCGCCACCCCACGAGACUGCCGCCGCACCGCUGGAUUCCGCGAGCGACCAGCACCGUCGCUCAAAGGGGCCGCCCCGCGCCGGCGCCCUCAAGCGGACGGGGAAGGAGGGCCCGCCCACCGCCUCGCCCGCUGGGCUAUGCCCGACGAAGCGCGCCGACGACGGCGGGGGGAGGGGAGCGAGACGGGGCCGAGGGCCGCGGCCACAGGGGGCCCCCCGGGCGCGCGCG